rnacentral:lncRNA from 1 species
UUCUUUUGUGGCCUUGGUCUUUGUCUCAGGCUUGUGUUGGCCUCCCGAAAGUUCUUUUCUUGCUUGGUGUUGUUACGCAGGUCAGAGAGUUCAUGCUGCCUCACAUUCUAUAUUCUGCAACCUCCAUUGCCCAACAAUAAUCUGCAAGAAAGUUAAAUCUCAACCCGGUUCAUUAAAAUAGUUGCACCAGAAAUAUGUUAGCCCCUUACAAGUCGAAAUGGUCCUUGGUGGUACAACACCCAUCAUCCUACCGAACUCAGUGAAAACCCAUUCAAAGCUUUCAACCUGUUCAUCCCUUAGAUCACACCUCCCAGCAAAAUAUUCUGGAAAUGGUUAUUCACCCAUACAAAAAGCUUGAAUGGCAUGUCAUCGAGAUUGGCCCGAUAAGUGGUGUCGAAGCUGGCGAUGUCUCCAAAAAACUUGUAAUGCAUUGCCUCUAUUGUCCAUGUCAGAUUCUUUAUUCUGCUCUUUGAGUCUACUUGAACUCUAAACAAGAAUCAGGGCCUUUUGCCCUGAGUUCAUCGAAAACCUAUAUUAUCUUCUUCACAUAGUCAUCUUGUCGUAGCGACCUUUUUGUGAAUGGCACAUUCUCCACUGUCCCAAAGAAACCACCAACGAUGAUGUACACUUUGGCUAAGUUUAUGGUCUUCUUCCUAAGUUGCCCAUCAACCAAUAUUUUUUUGUCUGCAACAAAAGUAGACCCCCCUAGAAGUCCAAAUUGCAUUGUUUCAGAUAAACAAUAAAAACGGAGAUCUACAGGACAGACUAACUAAUGGUCCAUGUGCUUUCAGGCACUAGCCUGAAUGUGUUUCAAUAUACCAUCACAGGAAACAUAUGUUGUUUUUGCAGUUAAGAACAUAAGAUGAAAUGCCCGCAACCGAAUUGCACAUGAUGAGUCAAAAAACAGCAUGUACAACGGUUCAAGCCGCCUAUUUUUUUGCUGCAUUCAUGUGAUCAUCAGACACAUGUUAUUUCAACAACUUAAAAGUGAUUGUGAUUCGCUACACCUUCAUGGGACAACUAGAUUUUAUUUAUUUUUGCAGCUAUUCAUACACAGUGAUUCCAACUAGCCAUUUUCAUUGUUGUAACCUGUCAGAAUAACCAGCCAAUACAAAAAUCAGCUGCAUUUUCAUUGUUGUAACCCACAAGAACCAUUCGUCCAGCUCCUACAACAUCAUAAAUUUUGCUGCCAUCAUGUAACCACAGCCCCACACAGACCGCAGGCCACCGCCGCCACAAGAACAAUCACCAGCCACAUGCCAAAAAAAAUGUAAAUUCUCUAGUCAUCACCACACGCCACACAAUGUUAAUCAGGCAUGAAAUACCUUUUAAUCCACCCCGGCGCUUACUGAUCUGGCUUGACCGCGGACUCCCCGGACUCCGUAGGACCGCUGUCUGUACUGUUCUCACCCCCAGGGUUGCCGCAACUGUCGUGAGCAACCACCGACGAAUCUCGCAGUGCAGCGCCCCCAGCCCUCGAUCUCACCCACCUCGUCCUGAACAGAGCCGUGCGACGACGACCACAAAUUCAAGAUCGACAAGCUGCACACGAAAGCAACCAAUGAAAAGCACUGUUAGCCUCACGAGCGGAUUGAAUGUGGCGCCCAAUUCUGGUUUGACAACUUCGUCCCCGCUCGUUCUGCAAAACCACGUAUCGGCUUUUCUAGGGCACCCAUUCUACCAGGGCAAGGCAUCCACUCUAUUGGAUUUGCUCCCACUCGAACCAUACAACCCAAUCAAACCCACCACCACAGCCCCCCAACGCACACCGCCCGAACCAAAAAAUAGAGAGUCAAAUUUACAUUUAAAAGAAUAACCACUACACAAUUUCUAUCGUUUUCAAUUUUUUCUUUCGUCCGGAUGCUCUGUACUAAACCUUUAGAAUUUAAUUACUUAUUCUGUCGCAAACACAUCCAGAUCAAGCUUUAUCUCUGUACUAUAAUUUCCCCCAUCAUAAUCACAAGAAAAAAUUGAACGCACCUUUCUUUUCUUUUCACAUGAGUGGCACAUGAAUUAGAACAACUCGAAUUGGCACGGCCAAACAGGAAACACAAGCUCUGCUUUUCUUACCCAAUUCUUUUUGUGUGUCCAGCACAGAGAUGCCCCCCUGAUGGCUAUUUUUUUCUAGUUUGUAUCCACACAUUCAGUCCACAUACUCAGACCUGGUUUUCAUGCAUCCAUCAACAGGGAGAUCAAGCAAUCUAUGACAUGCAUCCCUAAAAUUUUAAUCACCCACCCCCUAACCACAUGAACAUACUUGAAAGCAGGCAGCAUCACUGGCACCAACCAGAGGAACAACUACUGGGCCUCACCAUCCCAAAAUAAUAGUGCACUCAACACACGCGUGCACACACAUGCUAAUCAGGGAGGGGAUACCUUCUAAUCCAGCCCAGCCCCUUGGGAUCGUGCUUCACCGCCGACUUGCCGCCUCGCCAGACUCGGCAGGAGCGCCGUCUCUGCUCCCCUCGCCACCAGGUUUGCCACAACUGUCGUGAGCAGCCAUCGACGAAUCUCUCAGCCCGUCGGUUGCCCAGCCUUCGAUCUUGCUCCCCUCAUCAUGAAAGGAGGCGCGGGGCUAGGCCCCCGGCUCGAAGAUCGGCAAGCUACAGAGGAAACCAGAGCUUUUUUUGUUUAUUUACGUGACAGAUCUCCUCAUUGGCGAGGGGCGGAGGGGGGACAGGGGAGUAUGUGUGAAACGAACCUGCGCACUGGAUCCAGGGGGAAAUCUCCGGCGGCUCCCAUGGCGGCCGCUGCUGCCGCCUAACCCAUUGCCUCGCUCUCCAUCGCCUCUCCUGAUCCAUACCCUGCCCCACACCUCCUUUCUCUUUUGUGAUUUUUACCUCUUUUCUUUUGUCGGCAGCAAAGCCCCAAGACACGCGAGCGCCCUGCCCAGAGGCUCUCCUCGUACGCAAAAAAAUCCUGGACCAUGGUCCAGCUUUUGUAACAAUCCUAG